AUCGCUUCUCGGCCUUUUGGCUAAGAUCAAGUGCAGUAUCUGUUCUUACCAGUUUAAUAUCUGAUACGAAGUCCUAACCACCAGCUCUGGUGUAAGACCUCUCAUAAAUACUAUCAAUUAAGGUCACUUACAAAUGAGGAACGUUCACGGACAACCUACCCAGGCACUGCGCAAGUGGUCACGUGACUCCUCUAACCUCCACGUUUUAAAAGGUGGGUGCUGCUAUU
rnacentral:snRNA from 1 species